rnacentral:rRNA from 1 species
AUUGAACGCUGGCGGCAGGCCUAACACAUGCAAGUCGAGCGGAUGAAGGGAGCUUGCUCCUGGAUUCAGCGGCGGACGGGUGAGUAAUGCCUAGGAAUCUGCCUGGUAGUGGGGGAUAACGUCCGGAAACGGGUGCUAAUACCGCAUACGUCCUGAGGGAGAAAGUGGGGGAUCUUCGGACCUCACGCUAUCAGAUGAGCCUAGGUCGAAUUAGCUAGUUGGUGGGGUAAAGGCCUACCAAGGCGACGAUCCGUAACUGGUCUGAGAGGAUGAUCAGUCACACUGGAACUGAGACACGGUCCAGACUCCUACGGGAGGCAGCAGUGGGGAAUAUUGGACAAUGGGCGAAAGCCUGAUCCAGCCAUGCCGCGUGUGUGAAGAAGGUCUUCGGAUUGUAAAGCACUUUAAGUUGGGAGGAAGGGCAGUAAGUUAAUACCUUGCUGUUUUGACGUUACCAACAGAAUAAGCACCGGCUAACUUCGUG